rnacentral:rRNA from 2 species
CUCCCAAACCCCUGUGAACAUACCUUAUGUUGCCUCGGCGGAUCAGCCCGCGCCCCGUAAAAAGGGACGGCCCGCCGCAGGAACCCUAAACUCUGUUUUUAGUGGAACUUCUGAGUAUAAAAAACAAAUAAAUCAAAACUUUCAACAACGGAUCUCUUGGUUCUGGCAUCGAUGAAGAACGCAGCAAAAUGCGAUAAGUAAUGUGAAUUGCAGAAUUCAGUGAAUCAUCGAAUCUUUGAACGCACAUUGCGCCCGCCAGUAUUCUGGCGGGCAUGCCUGUUCGAGCGUCAUUUCAACCCUCAAGCCCAGCUUGGUGUUGGGAGCUGCAGUCCUGCUGCACUCCCCAAAUACAUUGGCGGUCACGUCGAGCUUCCAUAGCGUAGUAAUUUACAUAUCGUUACUGGUAAUCGUCGCGGCCACGCCGUUAAACCCCAACUUCUGAAUGUUGACCUCGGAUCAGGUAGGAAUACCCGCUGAACUUAAGCAUAUC